AUGGUGGGGAUAGAUGGCUUGUGUGGGUUAGCCGUUAGCCUAGCCCGGAUACCUCCGCGCUUACCCCUCUUCUGCUUCCUCUCACGCCGCUUGUGGCGCCUCCGCUGUGGGCGAGAUGCAGUAGUGGGGGUCGGUGAUGAUGUAGGCCUCCGGAGCAGUACAUCCAGCAGAAACUCACGACUGUAUGCGCGCUUAAAGACAGAUAGACGCGAUGACGACGUACAAAAACACUGCGACUCACAAGACAAAAAACACGAAAACACCGUUCUGUCGGGACAGAGAGAAGCCGCUGCGUGUGGACGCGCCGCCAUCUUGGUUUUUAUACAAUUUCCCUUACAUUAUAACAGCAAGGGAAAAGUACUUCUCGCAACAAUAAGGUAACGGGCAGAUCAAAUCCCUACUGCGAUAAUUAAAGUCAGUAGCAGCUUACUUUCGUUAAACAACCACUAAAGGAGAAAAAAUAUACACUCAAUAUGCCCAUAUGUACACUUGAAUUAAUUGUACCUUAACGAAAAAUCAGUAAGACACAAAUUCCACCAAUUGUAUUGAAAGAUAUAUCAUAUUAAUACCCCGUCGGCAACAUGCAGAUAUUUCAGUGAUGGAGACACGACCACACUCCGAUACAUCAAACAAAGCAGUUGCAAACUUUAUCACAAUAUCCCACACACAUUUAACCCUCAAAACCCCAAUGUCCCAAGGCCUUGGCCAACAGACCGAAAGUUCAUUCAACCCACAUAAAUUGUCUGUCGCAGGGAGAAGAAAAAACAACCCAACAAAAAUACCAGGACAAGCGUGGCGAGAAGCCGCAGUCAAUGUAUUCCCCGUGAACUUACGCAGUCUCGCCACAGUCUGUUUAGCCGAUGAGAAGCUGUAGUAGUCCAAGGGGAAAAAAGCGGCAUCUCAUCCACCAAAAAAGGGUUUUUUCUUUUAGUCCCUUUGGUGAAUUCCUCCAGCAACUAUUACACAGAGCCCGCUAGACUCAGGCCGCUUUCCCGAUUGAACUCCGAAGUUCCUCCUCCCCGUCCGUCACUUCCCCUUCUCCUUAAAACAUAUUGCGUGACAAAACCAUAAUAGGAGGACCAAAAACAAAACAAAUAAAAGUCCUUAUAACAGUCCGUGAUUACGCCACAGGCAUCUGAUAUACAGUUCUCUCAUUUUACACAUGAAGACAAAAACCAAUGCCACAAAGCAUGCUUAUCAUCACCUCAAAAAACUGUACAAUGCCGGCAGAACAGGUGACUAUUACAAUUUUUUUAAAUAAAAUUGCAAGACCAUUUAGAAUGUAAACUACUACCCUUUAAUUAUUUGGUCACAGUUUAUUUUAAAGUCCAAUUCUCACCAUUAACAAACCAUUAACUAUGACAUUUGCCUCAAUAAACUCCUACUUUGUUGCUUAUUAAUAGUUCAUAAGGUAGUUGUUAAAUUUAGGUAUUGGGUAGGAUUAGGGAUGUAGAUUUAAGGUCAUGCAGAUUAUAUGCUUUAUAAACACUACGAAACAGGCAAUUAGCCAACAGUUAUUAAUAAUAGCCAUGCAAAUAAGCAAUUAGUAAAUAGCGAGAAUUGGUCCCUAUACUAAAGUGUUACCAAUUACAAUUUCAUAAACAGAUGAAGCUGUAAGGCUCAUUCUCAGUAAAAAGGUUCUAUGUGUGUCCUCAUGACUCAUUGUGAUUGGAUUUGUGUGUGAAUAAUGAACACCUCACAUUUUUUGAAAGUUAUUGUAUUAAUAUAUAGGGAUAGAUGGAAAAAUUAAGCAGCUGAACAUCUUAUCAAAUAUAGAAAUGUAUACUAAUAAUUACCACAAAUAAUUGAAUGUCAAUCUAUUUUUUAUUAUUCUCUUUCACAUGAUUACAUCCCAUAGGGGCACAAUAAAAAUAUUUUACAGACUAACAGAAAAAAUAAAAAUAUAAUCAAAUGUUAUUUUUAUUUCAAUUGUUCAAAAAUGUAGAAGCCAUAGCUUCAGGGUGGCCAAAGGCCAAAACAAUCAACAAAAGAAAUCUCAAACAAAACAAAGGGUAUAAAAAAUAACCUACACAAAUAAAAAUGCAGAGAACUUGCCUGACUUCCUAACUGAAUAAAUAAAAGUAACCAAAAUAUCACGCAGGUCACCCCUACAAUUCAACUUCUAAUAAAAUUUACAAUAGAAGGUAACAUUGACAAUGGUCAUUGCUAUCUAACUCACGUUUGAUAUAAAAUACUUUUGAUCUGUCGAAAGGAGUCGUCGUCCAUGGAGCCUUCAAUGCAAUGCCAGCAAAUCUGGAAUGAACUCAUGUAAUAGUCAUCUAAUAACAACAAUGCCCUUUUCUUAAGGCACACACCAACAGAUAAGCUUAUAUCAUUCUUCCAAAUGGCUAUAUGCUAUCUGGAUCUUAAAAAUUAAAGGGUGUGAUCAGUAAACACUCAGACGGGCAAAGAAUUGGAUCCAACAUGGAUGUCAGCUGAUUAGCUGAAAAAUAUCAUACAGGAUUUUCAACAUCAUGGACAUCAUCAUGCAGGAGGACAGCACCAGCAGCAGUAGCACACACUUCAACAUCGAACUUAAGAAAAUGAAACAGAAAAAUUGUGAUUGUCUUUUCUUACCUAUUUUUAACUUAUGCGACUUAUAUCCAUGUGAAACAGCUUAUCAUUUUAUCAAAGAUUAUAUUUUCUUCCACUGGGAAUGGAUUGUUGGGACAUUGUUGUUUGCUAAUUACUGCAAUUAUUCAUAAUAAAAAAUGUGAAAUUCCAUUAAUUUAAUUCAUUGUUUCAAGAUUGUUUCAAAGCAGUUUUACAGAAGAUGCAUCUUUUAUUGAUACAGUGUCAUUUGGUCCUAUAGUGAACAGGAAAUCUAUCAUUAAAUAAAAAAAGUUCCCUUAUGGUUCUGAGGCCCAGUGAGCAGUCACGAAUGUGCAUCCCAAGACAGAGGAGGGAAAGCAAAUGAGAAGGAUUAGUGUAGCUGACGUUCAUAUUAUUUCAGGUAAAGAUAAUCGGUAACACUUUAUAAUAACGUUCUGUUA
ensembl:lncRNA